GUGGGGAAUAUUGCUCAAUGGGCGAAAGCCUGAAGCAGCGACGCCGCGUGAGGGAUGAAGGCCUUCGGGUUGUAAACCUCUUUCAGCAGGGAAGAAGCGAAAGUGACGGUACCUGCAGAAGAAGCACCGGCUAACUACGUGCCAGCAGCCGCGGUAAUACGUAGGGUGCAAGCGUUGUCCGGAAUUAUUGGGCGUAAAGAGCUCGUAGGCGGUCUGUCGCGUCUGCUGUGAAAACUCGGGGCUUAACCCCGGGCCUGCAGUGGGUACGGGCAGACUAGAGUGCGGUAGGGGAGACUGGAAUUCCUGGUGUAGCGGUGAAAUGCGCAGAUAUCAGGAGGAACACCGGUGGCGAAGGCGGGUCUCUGGGCCGUAACUGACGCUGAGGAGCGAAAGCAUGGGUAGCGAACAGG
rnacentral:rRNA from 1 species